rnacentral:tRNA from 1 species
AGUGACUUAGGUUAGACAGCCUAGACCAAGAGCCUUCAAAGCUCUCAGCGGAGGUGAAAGCCCUCCAGUCGCUG